rnacentral:rRNA from 1 species
CCUACGGGAGGCAGCAGUGGGGAAUUUUGGACAAUGGGGGAAACCCUGAUCCAGCAAUGCCGCGUGUGUGAAGAAGGCCUUCGGGUUGUAAAGCACUUUUGUCCGGAAAGAAAACCUUUGCACUAAUACUGUGAGGGGAUGACGGUACCGGAAGAAUAAGCACCGGCUAACUACGUGCCAGCAGCCGCGGUAAUACGUAGGGUGCGAGCGUUAAUCGGAAUUACUGGGCGUAAAGCGUGCGCAGGCGGUUCGUUAAGACAGAUGUGAAAUCCCCGGGCUUAACCUGGGAACUGCAUUUGUGACUGGCGAGCUAGAGUAUGGCAGAGGGGGGUUAGAAUUCCACGUGUAGCAGUGAAAUGCGUAGAGAUGUGGAGGAAUACCGAUGGCGAAGGCAGCCCCCUGGGCCAAUACUGACGCUCAUGCACGAAAGCGUGGGGAGCAAACGAGGUAUUAGACUACCCGUGGUACGUCCACGCCCUAAACGAUGUCAACUAGUUGUUGGUCUUCAUAGUACUAGUAACGUAGUCUACGCGUGAGUAGUACCGCCGUCGGGAGGUACGGUCGCGAGAAGUUAAACUAACGAAGGAAGUAGACGGCGUGAGACGUGCCGACGGACGACGACGAGGGAGGUUAGG